ACGGGGGGGGCAAGCGUUGUUCGGAAUUACUGGGCGUAAAGGGCUCGUAGGCGGCCAACUAAGUCGGAUGUGAAAUCCCCAGGCUCAACUUGGGAACUGCAUCCGAUACUGGAUGGCUUGAAUCCGGGAGAGGGAUGCAGAAUUCCAGGUGUAGCGGUGAAAUGCGUAGAUAUCUGGAGGAAUACCGGUGGCGAAGGCGGGGCUCUGGGCCUCAACUGACGCUGAGGCGCGAAAGCUGGGGGAGCGAACGGGA
rnacentral:rRNA from 1 species